rnacentral:lncRNA from 1 species
GUGGAACCCUGAAAUCGUUGAAGGAUAAAUUUAGCAAGGAGGAGAAAGAAGUCCCAGAAGCAUCUGGUUUGAAGACCCUGAAAUCUCGUAUUAUACUUCUGUUUUGUUAAUUAAAUAUGAUUUCUGUAAAAUAUUAACUCUUUUCAGUCCUAGUAGUUCUUUCAGAAAUCUAGUUGCGAAUGAGGCGUCAUUUGCGCUGAGGAUUGUAUGGAUUGUGUUUAUGAGGUGUUUAUUCUGUGGAGUCUGGACUACAAAAGUUGCCGGGUGGAUCUUCUUGGACAUUGGAUGUGUUCACUGAAGCAAUUGUUGGAAAGUUGAAG